UUCGUGUGAACAGUGGUUGAUCACGAGUUAGUCGGUCCUAAGUUCAAGGCGAAAGCCGAAAAUUUUCAAGUAAAAAUAAUAUUAAAAAAUAUAUAUUAUAUAUAUGUUUGGCUAUAUAAUACACUUGAAUAAUUUUGAACGAAAGGGAAUACGGUUCCAAUUCCGUAACCUGUUGAGUAUCCGUUUGUUAUUAAAUAUGGGCCUCGUGCUCAUCCUGGCAACAGGAACGACCAUAAAGAAGCCGUCGAGAGAUAUCGGAAGAGUUUUCUUUUCUGUUUUAUAGCCGUACUACCAUGGAAGUCUUUCGCAGAGAGAUAUGGUAGAUGGGCUAGAAGAGCAUGACAUAUACUGUUGUGUCGAUAUUUUCUCCUCGGACCUUGAAAAUUUAUGGUGGGGAUACGCAAACUUCUCAACAGGCCGUACCAAUAUCCGCAGCUGGUCUCCAAGGUGAAGAGUCUCUAGUCGAUAGAAUA
rnacentral:rRNA from 1 species